GCUUCCGGCCUCGCUGUCUAGCAGGGCGCUGGCUGGUCCCUUCGUCCGGCGGGAACUUCGCGGCUAACCGACUCUCUGGAUGCCGGCCGCGCUGUGGUUUCCUCACAUAAGAAGCCAAGGAGUCGGAAAGCCCGUUGCCUGAGGCAGCAGUCUGGGAAUUUCGGUCCGGCGGGCCGUCCCCACCCACACGGACGGGGCGUGGCUUCUGCCAGAUGUGGGCGGGGCCCCGAGGGCCGUGGCGGGCGGGACCCGGGCCUCGGCCGGGCUGGCUUGGUCCCCGCAGGUGCCCCCCGCUAGCCACGAGCAGCCCCGGGAGGGUGGAUUCGGAGGCGCGGGGACUGGUGAGGGCCCACUGCAGGGCUGAGCGUCGCAGCGUGCUGUGGUUUUAGAUGAAUGCUCCUCCAAAUCCCUUCCAUGAAGCCCUCAAUCAGGUCGGUAACUGAUGACAGCCAGUGGCUGACGCGAAGUUCAUUGAAUAAAUGAAUGCAUUCGUGAACAACCGAGUAACAUUUCUUGCACACUCCCAACUUCAAAUAUCGCAGCGUCGUCCCACCAUGAGUAUUGGUGUUGGUCCUAAAGCACGGAUUCCCUUGGCUCCUCCCAUUCUCCCCUGCUGAGUUAGACAGCGGGGCCUCAUGCAGGAGGAGGAUUUGUACACAGCACAGCAGGAGGCUGAUGAGGGAGUCCGGAGACCCCAGCAGUCGUGGGCGUGAGCUGCUGGCUCAUCCGUGUGUACAACAUUCCAGACUGGAGUAAGGGAAGCCGCAGGCGCAGCCCCGCGAGUGCCCCUGCUGAGGCUGGCCCUGGGUGGCCCAGAUGCACCAGGGGGCCCACUGGGGGCAGACCUGGCAGGCCCUGUGGGGGUUGGAGGCGGGAGUGGGGGUACUUCCUACAGUGGUGUUUGGUCUUGAUGACAGCAGAGAGCACCACUGGCAUGAGGGACAGGUGACUCCGAUGAUGACGCUGCCAGGCCAGGAGCCAGGGGUGUGCCCAGCCCCUGGCUCCACCACAGCUGCACAUCCCGAACUCGGAGCUUCAGCAACUCCGAAGCCUGAAGCCGCCUCACGUGUUGUUGGAUGGAUGAAUGGAUAAACGAAAUGCCGUCCAUCCAUACAAUGGAAUCGUACUCAGCCUUAGAAAGGAAAUGCUGUCCGUCCAUACAAUGGAUUCGUACUCAGCCUUAGAAAGGAAGGGAAUCCUGACACACGUCACAACACGGAUGACCUUGAAGACGUUAUGCUGAGUGAGAUAAGCCAGCCACAAAAAGACAAAUACAGUACUGUGUGAUUCCAAUUAUUUGAGGUCCCUGGAGCAGUGAAAUGGUGGAGCGGAAUGGGGGUUGCCAAGGGCUGGGGGAGUGGGGAAUGAGGAGUUAGUUUUUCAUGGGGACAGAGCUUCAGUUGAGGAAGAUGAAAAAGUUUUGGAGACGGGUCACACAGCAAUGUGAAUUGUGCAUUAACAGUACUGAACUGCGCAUUUAAAGCAGGUUAAGUUUUAUGUUCUAUAUAUUUUACCACAAUUGUUUUAAAGAAUUUUUUAAAAGAGGUUCCGGUGCAGUCAGUCAGGGGUGCGGGUUGGGUGUUGGGUGGUUCAGAGCACCCAGGUGAUUCUAAAGUGCAGCCUGGUGAGAGCCACGUCUCCGGGGGCCUCCGCUGCUCUGCCUGCCUGGUCCCGGUGGGCUCACAGUGAGCGUUCUGCGUGUCGGUAGCCUUUGCAUCAAGGUAUUGAGUCCCUGAGCAGAGUGGCCCUCCUGCACCUGCACCUCCACCUUCCCUGCCACGUGUUGCCCUUGGGAUCCUGCCUCUUAGAAGAACCUGAGGCCGCACGUGGUCUGUAGCGGGGAGGUGGCCUCACAUGCCCACCUCCGUGCCUCCUAAAUGCCCACAUGGUGCAGGGCAGUGUCCACAGAGCCAGCAGUGCUGGAGGGGGAAGGACACUCAAUUGCUGGCCACUCUGCCAAUACCAUCACCCCCAUUUCUCAGGACCCUGAGAUCUGGGGGCCUGGUGCUAUGCCCAAAACCACAUAGCCCACAGGUGGCUGAGUUGGGAUCACAUCCAGACUGUCCAGCCCUACAGCCUGUCUCCCCCUCUGACCUCACCUCUCCAGAGUCCCUCUUCUUCCAGGUCCUCUGAGCCCAAAAGACCCACCAACACAGGGACACUCAGUGACCGCUAGAGAUGAAGCAACUUGGGUCCCAUCACCUACAAGCAACAGGGAUUUACCAGUGCCUACCAGUGCCAUCCCAGCCCAGCACAGCAGCAACAGGACCAGUGCAGUGGGCUGUCUUGCCCCUCCAGGUCCCAGUGGCUCCCUCCCGUUUUCCCACCCCUAAAAUCACCCGUCGCUUCCUGUUGCCUCCUGGAGGCUCAGGCCUCCCCCAAAGUGUCCCCAGUGACCCCUCUGUGGAGCCUAGCCCAGUCUUUGUGGUGGAAAAUUUGGCAGUCUAGCUAAAGCAUAAGAAUGAAUAAUCCUUGAUCAGAAAUGCCUCUUCCAGGCAUUCAUUCUAGGGAAAUAAUCAGAUGUGGGGGAGAUUCAGCUACAGUAGUGCUCAUUACCAUCAUUUUAUAACAAAAAUGUCCAACAAUGGACUUUCUGGUUCAGGAGGUCUGAGAAGGGGCCCCCAUCCCUCAUCCUUCCUGUUGCAGGGAACUGGGGGCCCCUCUGGAAGCAUGGCAGGUAUAUGGGGGGCUGGAAACAUGAGCUCCACAGCUGCAGGCUGGUGAGGAUCCUGCUGGGCCUGGGUGUGCUGGUGCUGCUGUCGCUUAACCCCCACAGCUGUCUCCGGGAAUUGGGCAGCAGAUGUCACCCAGGCAGGGACCAGAAAUGGGAAUCUCUCCUGAUCCUAGGCCCUGUGGGCCUGUGUUUGGGGUGUCUCCUCCCAGGAGGCCCAGCCCUCUCUUCCCCUUUGAAGGAUCUCCUGCUUUGAAGGAAGCAGGGGAUCUGAAGGUUUACCAGGUGAGGCCACGAGAUGAGGGCAGCCCGCUGACCCUCCAGGCUUUGCCCUGGAAACAUCUUUACCAGCCCCUGCCCCGCAGACCCUGUCUCAGGCCUUGGAGCCCACCUGCAGAGAGUCAGGGUGUCUGCCCCAAGCUAGGGAGGCAGAUCCACAUCCUUCCAGCUGAGUCACCAGGACAGGGUGACUCCUCUGAGCACCAGCUGCCUCCCUGUCAAAUCGGGCUGAUAAUACCCACUUUGCAGGCUUUGUAAAGACACAAAAUCCCAUAGAAUGUGCCACAGGCUUCCUGGGGCAGAGAGAGCCUCAGGACACAGUGGGCAUCGGUGCCAUGGCUGCUAACGCUAUGGCAUGGCUUUGCUGAGUGGAGCCACGCCCACCUCCAGCCUCCCACCCCACCCCACCCUGUCCUAAACUGAGCCCACCUUCUCUGCCCAGCUUGGAACAGAGCAGGGCUCAGGGGUAGACGCAGUGUCCCAGCAGGCCCUCAGCUUGGGGCUGGUGGGGCUGGGCAGGGCCCAGGCCGUGAUGUUCCUUGCAGCCCUCGAAGCCUCCCUCUUCCAGCCAGGUCGGCCUCUGCCUGGAUGUGGUUUAGCCUGGCAGUGGAGGUCCCAGGGAGGACCGGGAAGCCCAGCUGUGGGGACUGCAGAGGACAGUGUGGGCCCUGGGAGUCCUGCCAAGGGGGUGCCCUCUUUCAGCCCCCCUCACAGGUGCUGUGCUGCCUCCCUUGGUGUGACCGAGAACUCCACUAGUGUCAGGAGGCCACAGCGCUCAGUGAGCCCCUGCAUCCUCUACCAGGGCCUGCGUCUCUCCAGGCAGCACCUGUGGAAGGCAACUACCAUGUGCUGGUCACUGCCACAGCGGGAGGAGUCAGAGGUGAGGAAAUCUCAGUCCCAGAGCAGGGACUGGCAGCAGAGACAGGAGGUUUUUAGAGACUCUUCGGCCACAGCGGGACCAACAGCCCAGCUUGCCCAGCACUGAGUGGGCCUCAGAACACAGAGCUGCCAGUUUUCAAAGCAGGGUGAGUGGAGACCCUAUCCCAGCCCUCAGCUCCGCUCCCCGCCUGUCCUGCGGCAGUGCUGGAGUCUUUGGGCUGGCCUCACCAUGCCCUCCUUACCGCCAGGUGAACUUUUCCUGCCAUACCAGUUGGUCUCUGUCACUCGGGCUCACAGACUCCUUCACGGUCCCGAAUGCCCAUCUAUAGGCUCUUGGAGGAGCCUGGGCAUCUGAGGCCCUUCCCGAGAAGAGCCCCAACCUCCCUCCCCUCCUCCAGCUCCCAAGCGCCCUGCCUAGAACCUGACCCUCCAGGGCCAGCACUCUCUCCCUGGGGUCUGCGCACGAGGCUCCCUCCCUCCCAUACCCCUGUCCUGGGGACCUCUCCCCCUCACCAGAUGCCUCCCCCACCGCACCCCCGCUUUCCGCCCCGCAGCUGGGGCCUUGGCUCCAGGUCCUCCCAGCAGCAUUUAUCUCCUCACCUGACUGCAGCUGCCGGAGGAGCUGGCCUAUCUCUCCUGGCAGACAGUUAGGUUCCACGAAAGUGGCUUCUGGUGGGACGGGUAUUUUGAUUCUGUCACAGGAGCUGGCCCAGGCCUUGUUCCUGAACCAAUGGAUAAAGGCAUUCAUGCUCUGAAAUUGACAAACUGCCACACCAGGGCAGCGGGGUUCUAGGGUUCAGGGGCGAGCAAAGCUGGACACCAUCCCAAGGAACCUAUAGAGCAGCAUGGGGGCAUUGAAUGGCAGCCUCCAAAACAGAGAUGUCCACGGUCUCAGCUCCGGAACCGUGAAUGGGACCUUAUUUGGAAAAAGGGUCUUUGCAGAUGCGAUUAAGGAUCUCAAGAUGAGAUCGUCCUGGAUUUAGGGCAGGCCCUAAUCCAAUGGCAGCUGCCUUUACAAGAGAAAGGCAAAGGCGGAUUGGAGAGAGAGAAGACAGCGUGAAGACGGGGGUGGAGAGUGCAGCGACGUGGCCACAAGCCGAGGAACACCUGGGGCCCCCAGAAGCUGGCAGAGGCAACAAGGACCCUCCCCUAGAACGUGGGGGUCGGGGGAGCGCAGCCCUGCCUGCACCUGGGCUUCACACGGGUCUGUGGUGAACUGUUUCCGAAGCUUCAGGGCUCAUACAUCCAGUAAGGAAACUGGAAUUACAGUCGCUCCCUGCGGCGAGGACCCAGCAGGAGAGCCCGGGCUGAGAGCGGGAAGGCGUCUCCAGGAGCCACACCGAGGGUUAUCAGCAGAAAACACACGCCUGAAUGGGCGUGUCGGUGGAGCUGAGCCUGUCGCCUCAUCCAGUGCCACGGAGGAGCCCUCGCGGUGUCUCCCUGCAGAGGUCACACUGGGGUCACAACUGAGGCUGCCUUGGGCAAGGGCCAACCGCAAGGCUGUUUCUGAAACCAUAAAGUACCAAGAGAAUGCCCUGUGUUACAAUUAAUAAAUAGCAUUGUUAAUCGACGUGAA